AUUGAACGCUUGCGGCAGGCCUAACACAUGCACGUCGAGCGAGCGGCGGACGGGUGAGUAAUGUCUGGGAAACUGCCUGAUGGAGGGGGAUAACUACUGGAAACGGUAGCUCAUACCGCAUACCAUCAGAUGUGCCCAGAUGGGAUUAGCUAGUAGGUGGGGUAACGGCUCACCUAGGCGACGAUCCCUAGCUGGUCUGGGAGGAUGACCAGACACACAAGAAAUGAGACACGGUCCAAACUCCGAAGGGAGGCAGCAGUGGGGAAUAUUGCACAAUGGGCGCAAGCCUGAUGCAGCCAUGCCGCGGGUGUGAAGAAGGCCUUCGGGUUGUAAAGCACUUUCAGCUGGGAGGCGUUACCCGCAGAAGAAGCACCGGCUAACUCCGUGCCAGCAGCCGCGGUAAUUC
rnacentral:rRNA from 1 species